ACCCAGGUGGCUCAGCAGUAAAGAAUCUGCCUGCAAUGCAGGAGACGCAGGUUCAAUCCCUGCGUUGGGAA
rnacentral:tRNA from 1 species